rnacentral:rRNA from 1 species
UACGAAGGGGGCUAGCGUUGCUCGGAAUCACUGGGCGUAAAGGGUGCGUAGGCGGGUCUUUAAGUCAGGGGUGAAAUCCUGGAGCUCAACUCCAGAACUGCCUUUGAUACUGAGGAUCUUGAGUUCGGGAGAGGUGAGUGGAACUGCGAGUGUAGAGGUGAAAUUCGUAGAUAUUCGGAAGAACACCAGUGGCGAAGGCGACACACUGGCCCGUUACUGACGCUGAGGCUCGAAAGCGUGGGGAGCAAACAGG